rnacentral:rRNA from 1 species
GAUGAACGCUGGCGGCGUGCCUAAUACAUGCGAGUCGAGCGAACAGACGAGGAGCUUGCUCCUCUGACGUUAGCGGCGGACGGGUGAGUAACACGUGGAUAACCUACCUAUAAGACUGGGAUAACUUCGGGAAACCGGAGCUAAUACCGGAUAAUCUAUUGAACCGCAUGGUUCAAUAGUGAAAGACGGUUUUGCUGUCACUUAUAGAUGGAUCCGCGCCGCAUUAGCUAGUUGGUAAGGUAACGGCUUACCAAGGCAACGAUGCGUAGCCGACCUGAGAGGGUGAUCGGCCACACUGGAACUGAGACACGGUCCAGACUCCUACGGGAGGCAGCAGUAGGGAAUCUUCCGCAAUGGGCGAAAGCCUGACGGAGCAACGCCGCGUGAGUGAUGAAGGUCUUCGGAUCGUAAAACUCUGUUAUUAGGGAAGAACAAAUGUGUAAGUAACUAUGCACGUCUUGACGGUACCUAAUCAGAAAGCCACGGCUAACUACGUG